AGGGAUCAUUAACAAAUCCAAGACACGGAGCAACUCUGUUGCCGCACCGAGGACGCACGAGUGCUGAGGUGGUUGAGAUGAUGGUGCAAGCCACAAGUGGUGUAACCACAUGGUGCAACACAGUCAUACACGAUAAAUGUUGACACACACAGACAAGAACCUAAAAAAUUUUUAACAAUGGAUCUCUAGGCUCUU
rnacentral:misc_RNA from 1 species